rnacentral:miRNA from 1 species
UCUUUAACUGGGUGUUCAAA